rnacentral:rRNA from 1 species
AUGAUGGAGAAUCUCCAGGUGCUUGUCCUGCACGAAAAUCGCUUGUUUGGGUCCAUCCCACCUCAGAUUGCAAUGCUCAAGAAUAUAGGUCAUAUGUUCCUCUACAACAAUAAAUUGUCUGGUUCAGUACCGGAGGGGAUUGGUAACCUGACCAAGUUAGAAUACCUAGCAUUGUCUGCCAACCACUUAUCAUCAAUUAUCCCAUCAAGUUUAUUUCAUCUUGACAGUCUUCUCCGGCUAGAUGUGUCUCAAAACUUCUUGACUGGCACAUUACCCAUUGAUAUGGGAUAUUUGAAGCAAAUUUACAGCAUGGACCUCUCUGCCAACCUCUUGGUUGGUAGCAUCCCAUAUUCGAUUGGACAACUCCAAACGACAGCCUAUCUGAACCUGUCACACAAUUCAUUUAAUGAUUCACUUCCAGAAUCUUUCAACAAGCUAACUAGCUUGCAAACUUUGGACCUAUCACAUAACAGUCUCUCUGGUACAAUACCAAAGUACCUAGUCAAUUUCACCAUCCUGACCAGCUUGAACCUGUCUUUCAACAAGCUACAAGGUCAAGUACCAGAAGGUAUUGUCUUCUCAAAUAUUAGCCAACAAUCCUUGACGGGGAAUCCAGGGCUUUGUGGUGCUUCACGUUUAGGAUUUCCAAUGUGCCCAAGUAACUCUAAAAGAACUAAUAAUGGCUUCAUGCUGAAAAUUUGGCUGCCUACUAUCAUCAUAUCAAUUGGACUUGUAGCUUCCUGCAUAUAUGUAAUGCUCAGAAAGAGGAUUAAGAAGCGGCUAGGGAUGUCAGCUUCUCCCGGUAUGGUUGACAUGCCCACCUAUCACCUGGUCUCGUACCAUGAGCUUGUUCGAGCAACUGAUAAUUUUAGUGAGAGCAACCUGCUAGGGUCUGGAAGUUUUGGAAAAGUUUUCAAGGGUCGGCUAAGCAACGGCUUGAUUGUUGCAAUCAAAGUACUAGACAUGCAGGUAGAACAAGCGAUGAGAAGCUUUGAUAUAGAGUGUGGUGUACUACGGAUGGCACGACACCGCAAUCUAAUGAGGAUACUCAAUACCUGCUCCAACUUGGAAUUUAGGGCAUUGGUCCUUCAAUACAUGCCCAAUGGCAGCUUAGAGAUGCUCCUGCACAACUCGCAAGGUACAACACCAUUGGGAUUCAGAGUGAGACUAGGCAUCAUGCUCGAUGUGUCGUUGGCAAUGGAGUAUCUACACCAUGAACACUACGAGGUGGUCCUGCACUGUGACUUGAAGCCUAGCAAUGUGUUGUUCGAUGAGGACAUGACAACACAUGUGGCGGACUUUGGCAUUGCAAGGUUGUUACUAGGUGAUAACAGCUCUACGAUCACUGCGAGCAUGCCUGGAACUGUUGGCUACAUGGCACCAGAGUAUGGGGCUUAG